GGCAUUUUCCUAAGAUUAUGCCAUGCAUGUCUAAGUAUAAACAAAUCUAUACUGUGAAACUGCGAAUGGCUCAUUAUAUCAGUUAUAGUUUAUUUGAUGGUUCUUGCUACUUGGAUAACCGUAGUAAUUCUAGAGCUAAUACAUGCACCAAACCUCGACUUUUUUGGAAGAGGUGUAUUUAUUAGAUGGAAACCAAUGCGGGGCAACCCGGAUUCAGGUGAUUCAUAAUAACUUUCGGAUCGAUCUUCGGAUCGAUGCAUCAUUCAAGUUUCUGCCCUAUCAGCUUUGGAUGGUAGGGUAUUGGCCUACCAUGGCUUUAACGGGUAACGGAGAAUUAGGGUUCGAUUCCGGAGAGGGAGCCUGAGAAACGGCAACCACAUCCAAGGAAGGCAGCAGGCGCGUAAAUUACCCAAUCCUGACACAGGGAGGUAGUGACAAUAAAUAACAAUGCCGGGCCUUUUUAAGUCUGGCAAUUGGAAUGAGAACAAUUUAAAUCCCUUAUCGAGGAUCAAUUGGAGGGCAAGUCUGGUGCCAGCAGCCGCGGUAAUUCCAGCUCCAAUAGCGUAUACUAAAGUUGUUGCAGUUAAAAAGCUCGUAGUUGAAUUUCUGGUCGUGGCGAUCGGUCCGCCCCUCACGGGGUGUGCACCAGGUCUCUACGUCCAUCCUCGGGGAGAGCACGUCUGGCAUUUAGUUGUCGGGCGUGGGAUCCUCGUCAUUUACUGUGAGCAAAAUAGAGUGUUCAAAGCAGGCUUAGGCCGUUGAAUACAUUAGCAUGUAAUAAUAAGAUAGGACCUUGCUCU
rnacentral:rRNA from 1 species